rnacentral:rRNA from 1 species
GCAUAAUCAUUAGUCUUGUAAUUUAGGACUGGAAUGAAUGGUUUAACUGAGUACUCCUGUCUUAUUAUUAUACUUCAAAUUUUAUAUUUUAGUAAAAAAGCUAAAAUUCUUAUUAAAGACAAGAAGACCCUAUCAAGCUUUAUAAUUAAAAUCUAACAUCAACAUAGUUAAAAAAUUAUUUUACUGGGGCAGUAAAUAAAUAAAAUUUUAUUUAUAUAAUGUGAGAGCAACUCUUGAAAAAUCAAAAAUUUCUUAAGAAGGAACAAGUUACUGUAGGGAUAACAGCAUAAUUUUCUUUAAGAGUCCUUAUCAUCAAGAAAGUUUGUGACCUCGAUGUUGGAUUAAGAGCCCUGUUUCAUGCAAUAAUAAAAUAAGGGAGUCUGUUCGACUUUUAAAUUC